GCUCAGCCCUGGGGCUUCUUGCAUUUCACCUUGUCCCAGGGCACCAGCCAGCUGGGCUGGGCUGGCCACUACCCCAAGGAUGGGUUUUGCUGAGGAAACACAGCAUUCCUAAAUAUUGGCUGGUUUGGUGGUGUAGGCACAUUCUUCUGGCAUUUUUGCCUGUCCCUGGCUGCGCAUUAUUGUCCGCCGGCUGCAUUACGUAGGUGCUGUUGUUCCAAGAGAAACCAAAGCAAGAAUUUGAACUUUCAAGUGCUUCCUGCCAUUGUCUUUUGCUUUUGUUUGUGCUGGUGACUCCAAACCAGAUGGAUCGGGCUCCCCUCCGUCCGGGGGGCGAUGGGAAGUCAACACAGCCGGGCGAGGUUUGACAGCUUUGUCUUCUAUUGCCCUUCAUCCGUCAAGCCCAGCCAGUGGCGCUGAAUCGGCCCCGCAUAUGGAUGUGGGGAAGGAGAAAUUCUUCAGCUGUUGCGUUGCACUGCCACACCAGAAGCACCCAUCUCUGGGAGUGCCCAGGGAGAGGUGACCUCUGAUCUCACUCCAGCCCUGCCAUCCUGGAGGACCCGGACACGCAGCACGGAGCAGGAGCAGAGUGGACCCAGCAAGCAGAGCCCUGCACAUGCCUGGCCAGAGGGGACACGGACAGAGGGACAUGGGCUGGCCAACACCUGGUGGUUCUGCUGAGAUGCAUUCGUGGGGCAAUUGAGGCUGAGCCUUCACAUGAGACCCUCGACCCUGGGACUGAUGGUUUGUGCUCUGAAACAUGACUGCACAACAAGCAGAUCCUGGCUCUGAAUGAAUUCUGCAGCCAAGGAGAGCCUCUGCCUGGAAGUGGCAACUCUACAGCCUCCUCUCACCCCAAGAGUGCACUGGAACUUCAGUUCUCAUCUUCUCAGCUGAAAAAUUCCUUCGUACCUGUGUCCAGUCCUCAGCAACGUUCUCAAACAUGAUGCAGUUGCACAGACAGACUCCAAAUGUGCCCAACCACCUCUCAGUUUUCCUGCUCUGGACAAGACCUCUGCACACACACCCCAGUGUGCCUGGGGAGCUCUCACUGUGAUGUCUCAGUGUGGUUAUCACUCUGCCAGCUGGGGCAGGAGCUGGGUGGCAGCUCCCUGGACUCCUGAUUUACCUCAAUUA